UCGAUUGGAUGAUAUAGGCCUUACAACCAAUCAUUUUCCGUCUAACAUUGAGACUAGUAUCAGGAACGAUAACUCAGAUUACUGACCUUGAUACCUGAGCCAAGUUCUGACUUUCACGAAAAGGUACCAGAAGCAGGUGCCUGACUUGCAUAGAAAAAUGUCAUACCCUCAUAUGAGAAAAGUAGGCACAGGCCUCACUGGAAUGCUGAAAGAGGAGCACCCUCACAGGAGAUUAAAACUUUUAUAUGAGAAAAUUUUAAAGACACUUGCUGUGAUUCCAUCAGAGAGUGUGUACCGUCAGCAUUCAGAGCCAAUGUAUCGUCAAAAGCUCGCCUUAGUUACAUCAGUGGAAGAUGUUAAAAAGCUGGAACAGCAGCUGGGGGACCAGCAUAUUGAAGAAUCGUUAGAAUCAGCUGAGAGGGAGCUGUUUUUGACAAGGAACAUGUUACAAUGGAAAGCGUGGGAACCUUUGGUGGGAGAGGCACCUAAAAAUCAAUGGACAUGGCCACCAAACUAAUAACUAGUCUAUAUGCUGUUAAAAUGUACUUGAGUUAUUGCAUUUUAUUGUAAAAAAAAAAAAUGUAUAUAAAUGAUGCUGAAAAUAA